GAACCUGGAUAAAGCAUUGGAGAUGUUCAACAUGGCUCAGGGCUUGGGUGGGGCACUGGAUGAGAAGAUAUGCACUAAUAUGAUUUGCCACUAUGGAAAAGCUGGCAAAGUUCACGAAGCAUUAGCCUUAUUCCGCAAAAUGCAGGAGGAAGGAAUAAAACCCGGGAAGGUGAGCUACAACGUCAUGAUUAACGCAUGUGCUGCUGCUGGACUAUACCAAGAAGCAG